AUGGCGCAUUUCUGGUUGGGAGACGAGGACAACCAAAGGAUGAUGCACUGGAUGGCUUGGUGGAAAAUGUGUGUAUCCAAGAACCAAGGAGGAAUGGGCUUUCAGGAUAUCCAUUGUUUCAAUUUGGCUAUGCUUGCUAAACAGGCUUGGCGUCUUAUCGAGAAUUCGGAUUCUCUAUGUGCUACCAUUUUGAGAGUCAAAUACUAUCCCAAUGGUGAUUAUUGA
rnacentral:rRNA from 1 species